AUUGGGAGUAUGAACAGUAUGGUAAAGAAUAGAAUAUUACAGAUACAUAUGUAUGUAAUAUGGUUAUGAAUGGUACAUGCAAAAGAAUACUCUAAUGCCCAUUAAAUGUACCUGAAAGGACAUCAGAGCAUCUGGAAUGUUCAUGUGUGAUCAGUAUGGAUCUGUGUUACUGGUUGAGGAGCCUUGUGGCCUGAGGGGAAAAAACUGUUUGUAAGUCUGGAAGUGCAUGUCCUGAUGCUCCGAUAGUGUCUACCAGACGGCAGCAGUGUGAACAGACCAUAGCCUUGGUGGCGGUGAUCUUUGAAGAUGUUCCAUGCUUUCCUCAGGCAUCGAGUAUGUUAGAUGCCUUCCAAGGAUGGGAGAUGGCAGCCGAUGAUGUGCUCCACAGACUUUACCACCCUCUGGAGGGACUUACGUCUGGUUGCAGAGGAUAUUUUCUGAGAGGAUAUUUUCAGUGGUGCACCUGUAGAAGUUGGUGAGAGUUUUUACAGACAUGCCAAAUUUCUUGAGUCUCCUCAGGAACUAUUGACGUUUGUGGGCAGUUUUCAUUGCAGAGUUCGCUUGUCUGGACCAGGUGAGGUUAUCCUUGAUGAACACACAGAGAAACUUGAAUUCAGAGACUCUCUCCACUUCAGCUCCAUCGAUGUGUGUGGGGGCAUGACACCCCCCCCCCCCACUGUUUCCUGAAAUCCACAAUCAUCUCUUGCAGAAGUUGAGAGACAGGUUGUUGUCCUGUCACCAUGUAGCCAGGUUCUUUACCUCCUCUCUAUAAGCGGUCUCAUCAUUGUUGUAGUGUGGUCCGUGAAUAUAAGGAUGGUGUUGGAGCUGUGUGUGGCCACACAGUCAUGUGUGAACAGGGAGUACAGAAGGGGACUGAGUAUGCAGCCCUGGGGGGCUCCGGUGCUCAGGGUCAGUGCAGAGGAGGUGAGGUUGCCCAUUCUCACCUCCUGGUGUCUGCCCGUCUGGAAGUCUAGGAUCCAAUUACAAAAGGAAGGUGUUAAGUCCCAUGGUCUUGAGCCCAGGAACAAAAUUAGCGGGCACAAUAGUACUGAUGGGCAUUACAAAUCACUAAAGUGAACAGAAUCAUUCAGUACAGUACAUUUUAAUUUCUGAUUCAUUUAAUGAAUCUUUUUGUCCAAGCUCUUAAUUCCAUUUCUAUAUCAUGGUGAGACCUUGUUGUUUACUAUAUAACACUCUGUUUAGUGACUCACAAAAAUAGUAAUUUUACCAAAUUC
ensembl:lncRNA